CGUACACAACAUGCCAUAUACUGGGGUAUAGCUUUGGGAAACUGAAGGUAAUCCCCCAUAACAUUGGCGAGAGGGCAUCUGAUUGCAAUUAAGUUCGGCGGUAUAUGAUUGGUGUGCGUUUGAUUAGCUAGUUGGUAGGGUAACGGCCUACCAAGGCGACGAUCAAUAGCUGGCGUGAGAGCGCGACCAGCCACACUGGAACUGAGACACGGUCCAGACUCCUACGGGAGGCAGCAGUAGGGAAUAUUGGACAAUGGAGGAAACUCUGAUCCAGCCAUGCCGCGUGAUAGAUGAAGGCCUCUGGGUUGUAAAUAUCUUUUAUCUGGGAAGAAACUCCUCUAUUCUUAGAGGCCUGACGGUACCAGAGGAAUAAGCACCGGCUAACUCCGUG
rnacentral:rRNA from 1 species